rnacentral:ncRNA from 1 species
AGUUGGCCUACUGCACAGGAACGGGUUUCCCACGCAGCGCCAAGGGGGAUGAGCCUCGCCAGCAGCGGCCAAGGCCGGAAAGGCGAAACACACAGCGUCGGGUAGAGUUUGGUAGGGUCCUUCGGAUCUCGAAGAAGUCAGGCCCA